GUUUUUCCUUAUUAACGAAAUCUCCCUUUCAGUGAGGCGUGGCCGUGUGACUAAAUUUUGGCCAGUGAGCUGAAGGGUAAGUUUUACGUAGGGUUUCCAGGAAGUCUGCUCAAAGGGUGCUGACCCAUUGGAGGGGCAGUCUUUUGUGUUUCCCACCUGUUGACUAGACAGUAUCCCUGGCACACCAGCAACCAUCUUGGCCCAUGAGGUAUCCCAAAGGAUGGAAGCCAACACCAGGAUGGUGGAACAAAAAGAUGCGUAUUGGGUCCCUGAUGCCUGGAAAGUCACCCUAUCAGUGUGGCUGGCCUAGCCAGAGGUUUCUCUGAGCCAAACUAAGGGCCAAAUGUGUCUCCAGAUCCUGGCAUAAAUGAUGACAUUCUGAUUCUUUCUUCACUAUAGGUUUUCCAGUGUCUUGGCAAUGAGAAAUAGCGGCUUGCUGACAGCAUUUUAAAUGACCUACAUUUGUGUGGAAAGCCAUGUGGCCCAGCCCAGCAGGAUUAGAGGAGGGGAAGAUGCUCUGGCACUGAUUGCUCAUCAGGACAAGCCGACUCCACAUUCCUCCUGCUCCGUUUCUCCAUCGCACCAUCUGCGUAACUGCUGAUUCAUUAGGAAACCAGCUGCUAAAGAACUGCAUUCCCAGAAGAGCAAUUCACCCCAAAGUCCAUCUCUCUGAUGUCACUGGAGAGCAUCAAGGAGAAGAAGGGCAGCUGGAAUGGCUGGUCAGGGAUCUCAUCCCAUUGCCAACAGGAUGUGGUAUAUGCCAUGAAUUAAUAACCACUGUUUGUUGUUUCCCUUUUUCAAAUGACUGCUUUAAUGGCAGUUAUCCUGUUUUUUUCCCACUAGUGUCUGUUGGAUAUGUUGGUGGAUGGUUAAGUAUAUUAUUUACUCAAAGGCUGCAGACCAUGAAGAGCCACACUCAGUCUGAUGGAGAAGAAUGCACAUCGUCAAGAAAGCUUGGAACUGCAUGGUUACAGUAACUGGACCAGACUUUGGUUGUCUCUCUUUGGAGAAUGAGAUGACUGAGUUUGGUGUUGCACCUGGAGCUGCUGCAAUUUGUUUGGCAGGGCACUUUGAAGCUAGGUUUCCAGGAGGAUUGGUAUACAGAAGAUUAGCAGCCAGGGGGUGGACUGUAGUGGAUGGCUAGUGUUUUUGCAUUCUGAGAAUCCAUUCCCCCUUCCUCUGAUAGCAGUACCCAGACUUUUCUUUAGAGAACCAUCCCUGCACUCUCAGCCAAUGCAUUUUGGUGGGGCUGACCAUAUCCCCAGCUCCAGGGGUGGCCAUGUGAUGAAGUCUAGACAAAUCAGAAUGUUUAUUCUUCUGGCCUUGUGAUUGGUUCAGGGAUGAGCUCGUGCCUCAGUGCAGCCUAAGGAGAAUCAACAUGGAGAGUUUUGCUGAUACUAUUAGGAAAGAAACUAGUUAUUGUUAUUGCCAAGCUGGGCGAGCAAGAAUCUGGAGCUACUGGUGGGCAUCUUUAACAUUGAUUGGUAAAAGCGUGCCUGAGAAUAAAGCCAACAUGGAAGAAAAAAAGAGCAAGACAUAGAGACUUACCAUUGAUGAUAAUCUGAACUCCUGGAUCCAGCUGACCUUGACUAUAAUAUUGGACUUUUCAGUUAUAUAAUGCAAUAAAUUCCUUUUUUCUUGUUUU
rnacentral:lncRNA from 1 species